CAGGAGUCAUCAUGUAGAACAGGUGUCAUCAUGUAGAACAGGAGUCAUCAUGUAGAACAGGUGUCAUCAUGUAGAACAGGAGUCAUCAUGUAGAACAGGUGCCAUCGUGUAGAACAGGAGUCAUCAUGUAGAACAGGUGUCAUCAUGUAGAACAGGUGACAUCAUGUAGAACAGGAGUCAUUAUGUAGAACAGGAGUCAUCAUGUAGAACAGGAGUCAUCAUGUAGAACAGGAGUCAUCAUGUAGAACAGGAGUCAUCAUGUAGAACAGGUGUCAUCAUGUAGAACAGGUGUCAUCAUGUAGAACAGGAGUCAUCAUGUAGAACAGGUGUCAUCAUGUAGAACAGGUGUCAUCAUGUAGAACAGGUGUCAUUGUGAAGAACAGGUGUCAUCAUGUAGAACAGGUGUCAUCAUGU